rnacentral:rRNA from 2 species
CGAUACGGGACUCAUCCGAGGCCCCGUAAUCGGAAUGAGUACACUCUAAACCCUUUAACGAGGAUCAAUUGGAGGGCAAGUCUGGUGCCAGCAGCCGCGGUAACACCAGCUCCAAAAGCGUAUAUUAAAGUUGUUGCGGUUAAAAAGCUCGUAGUCGAAUUUGUGUCCCGCGCCGCCGGUUCAUCGCUCGCGGUGUCAACUGGCGUGUCCGCGGGACGUCCUGCCGGUGGGCUUAGCUCUUCGGGGCGGCCCAAUUUCAAUCCCACCGCGGUGCUCUUUACUGAGUGUCGAGGUGGGCCGGCACGUUUACUUUGAACAAAUUAGAGUGCUUAAAGCAGGCUAAAACAUCGCCUGAAUACUGUGUGCAUGGAAUAAUGGAAUAGGACCUCGGUUCUAUUUUGUUGGUUUUCGGAACCCCGAGGUAAUGAUUAAUAGGAACGGAUGGGGGCAUUCGUAUUGCGACGUUAGAGGUGAAAUUCUUGGAUCGUCGCAAGACGGACAGAAGCGAAAGCAUUUGCCAAAAACGCUUUCAUUGAUCAAGAACGAAAGUUAGAGGUUCGAAGGCGAUCAGAUACCGCCCUAGUUCUAACCAUAAACGAUGCCAGCUAGCGAUCCGCCGACGUUCCUCCGAUGACUCGGCGGGCAGCUUCCGGGAAACCAAAGCUUUUGGGAUCCGGGGGAAGUAUGGUUGCAAAGCUGAAACUUAAAGGAAUUGACGGAAGGGCACCACCAGGAGUGGAGCCUGCGGCUUAAUUUGACUCAACACGGGAAACCUCACCAGGCCCGGACACCGGAAGGAUUGACAGAUUGAGAG